GAGGGUAUAGCUCAGUGGUAAAGUGCAUGCCCAGCAUGCACAAGAUCCUGGGUUCAAGCCCCAGUACCCCCA
rnacentral:tRNA from 1 species